CAUUUAAAGAGUGCGUAAUAGCUCACUGGUCGAGUGACUCUGCGCCGAAAAUGUACCGGGGCUAAACGUAUCACCGAAGCUGCGGACUGUUCUUCGAACAGUGGUAGGAGAGCGUUCUAAGGGCUGGGAAGCAAGACCGGAAGGACUUGUGGAGCGCUUAGAAGUGAGAAUGCCGGUAUGAGUAGCGAAAGAGGGGUGAGAAUCCCCUCCACCGAAUGCCUAAGGUUUCCUGAGGAAGGCUCGUCCGCUCAGGGUUAGUCGGGACCUAAGCCGAGGCCGAAAGGCGUAGGCGAUGGAUAACAGGUUGAUAUUCCUGUAC
rnacentral:rRNA from 1 species